CCGUGAUAAAGUAGCAUAAUCACUCGUCAUUUAAUUGGUGACUGGAAUGAAUGGUUAAACGAAUCUUUAACUGUCUCAAGGAGAAAAUAAUUUAAUUUGAACUAACAGUGAAGAUGCUGUUAAAUGAUUAUAAGACGAAAAGACCCUAUCGAGCUUUACUAGACGCUUAUAGAAUUUUGAUAAAAAAGAAUUUAAAUCACUUAGCCUGUAAGCUUGUUAGUUUGGUUGGGGCGACCACCUCUAAAAAAGUAUCAGAGGAAUUCUAAAGGUUAAUUAAUAAUAUAUAAUGCCUUACUGAUAUACAAACUAGUUAAUCAAUCACCUACAGGUGAGAUAUAAUGACCCGUUAGACGAAUAUUAUAGUCUAACGAUUAUGAAAAAAGUUACCGUAGGGAUAACAGGGUAAUAUUUUCGAAGAGUUCAUAUCGAUGAAAAU
rnacentral:rRNA from 1 species